rnacentral:rRNA from 1 species
UGGGGAAUAUUGGACAAUGGGCGAAAGCCUGAUCCAGCCAUGCCGCGUGUGUGAAGAAGGCCUUCGGAUUGUAAAGCACUUUAAGUUGGGAGGAAGGGCCAUUACCUAAUACGUGAUGGUUUUGACGUUACCGACAGAAUAAGCACCGGCUAACUCUGUGCCAGCAGCCGCGGUAAUACAGAGGGUGCAAGCGUUAAUCGGAAUUACUGGGCGUAAAGCGCGCGUAGGUGGUUUGUUAAGUUGGAUGUGAAAUCCCCGGGCUCAACCUGGGAACUGCAUUCAAAACUGACUGACUAGAGUAUGGUAGAGGGUGGUGGAAUUUCCUGUGUAGCGGUGAAAUGCGUAGAUAUAGGAAGGAACACCAGUGGCGAAGGCGACCACCUGGACUGAUACUGACGCUGAGGCGCGAAAGCAAGGGGAGCAAACGGGAUUAGAUACCCCCGUAGUCCCUGAGCGGGCUGGCAAGGCGCAU